rnacentral:tRNA from 1 species
CGCUAAGAAGCUAACAGGUUUAUCAGCGUUAGUCUUUUAAGCUAAACAUAGGUGCCUACCAACCACCCUUAGCGA